rnacentral:rRNA from 1 species
AUGUCGUCGUCCUUCUGCGAGUGGGAGAAGACCAACGGCAUCGUCCAUCUGAAGCUCACCGGAGCCGACGGCCAUCACUACCUAACCGACGAGGGUCUCAAGGAGCUCUGCAGCGAGCUUGCCAAGAUCCGCGAGGAUGCAGCGUCCGAGCCAUGCCGUGCCCUCAUCACCACCUCAUCCCCGGGCUCCUUCUGCGACGGCAUCGACUACGAUGACCUCAAGAGAAGCAUGAACCCGGCGGAGCAGGCCAAAGCCCUGUCGGACGGCAUGGCCGCGGUGAUAAAGGAGCUCCUGGAGAUGCCGAUGCUGACGGUGUGCGCCGCCACGGGCGACGCGGCGUCCCUGGGGCUGGCCCUGGCGCUUGCGCACGACGACCUCGUCAUCCUCAGCGACGCGUCCUACAGGCUCGGCAUGGUGGAGGACGGCGUCGCCGUGCAGCCGCACAUCGCCUCGCUGGUCCGGGAGAAGACGGACCGGUGGUACACGCUGACCACGCUCAAGUCACGGUGGCGCAGCGGCAACUGGAUGAGGAAAUGGUAUUUCGCCGACUGUGAAGCCGGCACUCCAGAUGGUGUGCUGGUCGAGGCCAAGAAGCUGGUCGAGGAAUGGGCCGGCAGCGACGGCGAGGUGCAUGCCGACAUGAGGAAGCAGCUGUACCGGGAGUCCUGGAAUGCAGUCUCAGUUCUCCAGCUAGUUCCUGAAUGA